UCGGUAUAAGAUGAUGUUGGUCCAUUAGCUAAACGCAAAAAGUAAAGUUUUUGAGUUUAGGCGAAACAAUGUUAUAGAAACUGCUUGCUCUAGUUACUAUUACUUGACUGGGGACCUGGUCACAGAUAUUUUCAACGCUUAGGUUUUAAUGUGCCGAUAUUAUUUAAUUAAGUAUGCUCUGACUUGGUUAUGAGUUUGGCUGAGCUCCAAGAUUGUGUAUUGAGCUUGAAGCUCAUUUCCUGCUAUUUUCUUUUCUUUUUCGGACAAGGAGAUUUUAGCCUUGAUGGCAGAUUAGUGCCUUUUAAAAUUUGAAUGUAAUAGCAUGAUGAAUUAUUAAGGGCAUACCCCUAAUACCUUUAACAUUAAAGUUAGCUAAAAAAUCGACAUCUCUGCACAUUAAGCUAGCUAGAGUACUGUUCCCCAAGUGCAUGUGCUAGAAAGGGCAUGGUUGUGAUUGGGGAAUGAGAUUGAUUGAUCUAUGUAUACUAUCUUAGGCAAUGUCGGGUAAAACAUUGUAUGGACCAUCAGGUAUAUUAGGAUAUGUGUGGGUCUAUUUCAUUUUGCUUUUUUUAUAUGGAUUAAUUUACUUUUUCAGCCUAUUUGCACCCCUGGGUAACUGUGGUACCCCCGCUUGAUAGAUAACUGAUAUGUGCAUAUUUGAUACAUGUGCUUAACCGUAUAGAAAUAAGAGCCAAAAUGUCAGUGAAAGAAAGGAGCAAAAAUGACAUGCACACCUGACUGUGUAAUAGUUGUUGGCUUGAUAUGUUAUGUGAUUGUUUAUUGGGAUCUUGUGGGUAAAUUCUAUUUAAAGCUUUAUGGAGGUUUUAUUUUUUGCUUGUUUAAAAGGCAAUGCAUUAACUGCCAAUAUUCCUGUUUGUAUAUUCUAAAGACAAUUACAAUAAAAGUUCUUAUGAGCUCUUAUCUCUACAUUAUCCUUAUGGUGUCAGUUUUUUCUGAAGUUUGUUGGCCAUUAUGAAUCUAUGAUAUGAUUGCAUUUGACAUUUCUUUGGUAGUUUUGGCAGUUUCUGGUUCAUCUAAUUUCAAAAGGCUUUGGAGUGGAGGUCUAGGUUGACUUUUUUUCUUGGAUCGGAUGAUGCUCAAAAAAUGGGUUCAGAGUCUGUUUUUGCUCAUUGUUGGCAUUUUUACCCAUAAAUCAGGUAAUUUAAUCCAGUUCUGGUCUAUUUUUGCCACACUCGUUUUGAUGUUCAAGGUCAAAUGUGUCAAUUAAACCAUGCUCAUAAUCCAACCAAGAGCAUAAUCUGGAUUUUGAAUUGGGACCUUGUCUUUCAGGUAAGAAUGAUAUAUAUAUAUAUAUCUUCUCUAUUAUAAAAGCAGCUAUCACCCAGUGAGCAGUGCUUUUUGAUGUGAUGGUCAUUUUUACGUUUCGUCCCUGUCUGGCCAAGUGUUGUGUAUUUUGUUUUGUCCCUGCUAUCAUCUGAUGCUUCUUUCUCCAACAGAAACCAAAGCCCGUAGAGAGAGAACGUGAGGCUUCUGAAACUAUACCUAGGGCUCAACGGAAACCACAUCUCCACAGCUGACAGCAGCCAGCUCAACGGAAACUCUGCUUUUUGAGUUAAUCUUGACUCUGUUUUGGAAGAAUUAGGAAAGUUAAUUAUAUGGAACAAAAAAAUCUAUAAUUAGUUGAGGUUAUUUUGCCAAUUUGUAUUAUUAAUUGCUUUUGGAAUUUAGAGGUGAUGUUCUGAAAAAACACCCAUUAGCACACUGUCAAUUAUUUUUUUAAUAAACAUAUUUGCUCUUAAUUUAGUCUAGGUUGAUUUAUAAUAAGUCCCAAUAUGGUACUUUUGCAUCUUUCUAUCAGUUUACACAGCAGAAGCUCCCAGGUUGUAAACCAGUACUAACACCAGCUUGGGUCAUUUAUAUAUUUCUAUCGAUGGUAACCAUCUUCAUUCCUAUCAGCCUUGUUACUCUUCAUGCUUCCCAAAGUGGCUCGACGGAAACCACCUCUACAUGGUCGAUGGUGGCUAGCUCGAUGGAAACUCUGCUCCGAGGCUGCCGAUUCUUCACCUAGGAUUAUUCACAUUUGACGGAAACCAGCUUCAGAAUCUUGACUGACAGAAUCUUUGCGGGAUUAACCAUGCUUGUUACAAAGUUCGAACUGGGUUGGAAGAUGAUUUUAAGGGUCUUGUGCAACAAAAACCAUUUUAUUUUCAUGGUCCCAAUGGUUAUUGAAGAAAUACGUGUCGAUAUGGCCGAGAGCUUCGUGGCAGAAAAGAGACAUGAACUGAUAGAGGUUGUUUCUGAGGUUGAUGAUCAACUUGCUGAGGCAUUUCUAAAUUCUUGGCCCGUAUCGCCUACUGAACUUGAGGCAAAUGUGUGUUGCACGUUGAGCCACUGGAAUCAAUAAUUGCAUCCAAUCUAUGAAAGUUGUAGUUAGGAGGAAGCUCUGUUUAGUGGAAUUUAUUCCAUACAUAUUCCAACCAAGUAUGAAGAGAUUGGGGCAACAUAGGACUUACUAUGAUUUGGGAACAAACCCGUGAAAGUUUUUUGUUGGAGCAAUAGAGGUAUGAAUUUAUUUGUUCUAGUAUGCUUGAAUAAUUUCCAAUAUUGGUACCAAACAACGCGUUCCUUUUCUUAGUCAAACCUUCUGAUAACUCAUAUUAGCAUUACACACCAGUCAAAAUAUGAUAGUACAAAAACUAGAAAAACAAAGACAAAACCAACACUACAAAUCCACAACCACGAACAAUAUUCAAAAUAACAAAAACCACUAUCAUGGAUCCAUGGCAUCUCCACCACCACAAACAAUACUCAAAAUCAAAGCAUACCAUUAUGGCCACACCACCACCACAACAAAAAAUAUUUAUAGCUUCAAAAUCAACAACAACAUUACAGAUAAUAUUUAAACCUAUAAAUAUCCUUAAAAACUCCACUGACAACAUACAACAAAUCCAACACCAACAAAUCCAAUACCACUUGCUCAGCAUAAGCUACAAAUCUAUUAAAAAUUAUUCUCUUGUUAUGUUUCUAAUGUGACAAUGUUUUAAUUAACAUCGACUUCACAUAAUGUUGCUACUACCUCCACUUGGAUGAUACAAAUGAGGAUUAGCAAUUUCUAGUAGAGUUAAUUUUUUAAUAUUCCUACAAUUUCAGUAUACAUUGAAUUAGAGGUUGCAAUAUAAUUUUUAUGGAGCGGGCUAUGGAUUAAGUGGGUUCUCCACUGUUGAAAAAAAAUACUUAAGAGUGGAUAUUGUUAAAAGUGUGAAACUCUUUCGUUGAAGAUCUUUCAGUGCAAUUAAGGUAUGCGAUUUUUUAUUACGCCAUGGUUUAAUAAUAUUUUUAUAUUGUGUCAUAUAGACUAUGGUAGUUGUUUUCCUAUUCUUUAGUUUUUCUCUCAACUGUUAUGAUGAUUCUCACCAGUGCCUAGGUAUUUAUUUUGGAGUAAGCAGUUUGCAUUAUUGCUCAUGCAGAAUAUAAUACUAUCAUUGAGGUGAGUUUAUUUGUAACUUCAUAUAUAAUAUGAUACAUAUUUUUAAAAAAACACUGUUGGGUCGUUUGAUACUUUUGAUUCACAUGCCACCCUCUCCCUUUUUUUAUAAAACAAAUUUAUCAUUGAUUAUUUCUCCAAUUUCUAUAUCUCUCAUUGUCACCCCUGCUCACUUCUUAACGUUCUACUUGUCUCGUCCUUUACACUCGUUCUUCUUCUUCCUCUUCUUCUACUUUUUCUUUCAACUUCUCCUAUCUUUGUUGAAAGGGAGGAACAGUCCUUAUGAAGAUCUUAUGUUGGUGCAAUAGAGGUAUGAAUCUAUUUAUUCUACUAUGCUUUAAUAAUAUUCUAUUAUUGGCAUCAAACAAUGCGUUCUUUUUUAUAGUCAAAUCUUCUGAUAACUCAAAUUAGCAAUUCACACUAGUCAAAAUAUGAUACAAAAAUAGAAAACGAAAUAAAGACAAAACCAACACAACAAAUCCAAACCAUGAACAAUAUUCAAAACAACAAAAUCCACUACCACGGAUCCAUGGCAUCCCCACCACCCAAACAAUACUCAAAAUCAAACUAUACCACUAUGGCCACACCACCACCACAACAAAUAAUAUUAAUAGCUUCAAAAUCAAAUCCAACACCACAAAUAAUAUUUAAAUGUGCAAAUAUAUAUAUAAAACUCCACUAAUGAAGUACAACGAAUUCAACACCACCUACUCAGCAUAACCUACAAAUCUACUGGAAACUUAUUCUCUCGUUAUUUUUUAACGUGACAAUGCUUUAUUUGACAUUGAAUUCACAUAAUGUUUACUACACUUGAUGAUACAAAUGAGGAGUAGCAUUGUCUAGUAGAGUUAGGUUUAUUUAUUUAUUUAUUUAUAAUAUUCAUACAAUUUGAGUAUACAAUAAAUUAGAGAUUGUAAUGUAAUUCUUAUGGAGCGGGUUAUGUAUUUAGUGGGUUUUUCAUUGCUGGAAAAAAAAAAAUACUUCACGUGAAUAUUGCCAAAAGUGUUAUACUCUCAUUCAUUGAAGAUCUUUUGGUAUGAGAUUCUCUUAUUAUGCCAUGAUUUAAUAAUAUUCUUAAUCGUGUCAUAUAUACUAUGCAAGGUUUUUUCAUAUUCUUUAGUUUUUCACUCAACUAUUAUGAUAACUCUCACUUGUGUCGAGGUAUUUAUUUCAGAGUAACCAAUCUACUUUAUCGCUCAUGCCGAAUAUGAUAUUAUGAUUGAGGUGAGUUUAUCUAUAACUUUUUACAUCAAUGUGAUACAUAUUUUUAAAUAGAUGCCGCUAGCUGGGUCGUUUAAUAAUUUUGAUUCACAUGCCACCCACUCCCAUUUUUUUAUAGAACAUAUUUAUCAUAAUUAUUUCUCCAACUUCAAUUUCCCUCAUUCUCUCUCCAUGGCUUGCUCACUUCUUCUUCUUCUUCUUCCCCUAUCUUUGCUGGAAGGGAGGACCAAUCUUGAUGAAGAUCUUUUGUUGGUGUAAUAAAGAUAUGAAUUUAUUUAUUCUAUUAUGCUUUAAUAA